UACGAAGGGGGCUAGCGUUGCUCGGAAUCACUGGGCGUAAAGCGCACGUAGGCGGAUUGUUAAGUCAGGGGUGAAAUCCUGGAGCUCAACUCCAGAACUGCCUUUGAUACUGGCGAUCUUGAGUCCGGAAGAGGUGAGUGGAAUUCCCGGUGUAGUGGUGAAAUGCGUAGAUAUCGGGAGGAACACCAGUGGCGAAGGCGACUUCCUGGCCUGUUCUUGACGCUGAGGCGCGAAAGCUAGGGUAGCAAACGGG
rnacentral:rRNA from 1 species